UGAAAGUCUGAAACCUAGCUUCCCUGUGCGUCGGCGGCGUGGUGUUGGGGCAGUGGGCAGUACGCCAGCACCGCAGCAGCGCUGCGGCGGCCGGCGGGGACAGCGAUCGUCGCCCAGAGGGCGGAGGCGACCGGCGUGGGCGGCUGCCGGCUGGGCGCGUUUCGGCGUGCUGCCCUCUCACUCUCCGACUCCAAUCUCCAUCUCUCUCAACCUACAAGGCUUACAACCUGGAGCAAAAGAUUUGCCAUUUUCAUUAAUUAAGAAGAAGGUUUAGACAUAAGCCGCAAAGCGGAAAAAAGAAAAGGUCUACUCUCGCGACAUAAGUAGGCUCAAAUGCUUGGCUCCAGCAAGCGCCCAGAGGCGGGCUUCCUCCUUGAUUCUGCUGACGACGAUCGUUGUUGGAGCGGCCAUGUUGCGAAAAAUUCUUGCAUUUCGUUCCUUCCAAAUUUCCCAUGAAACCAGCAUCACAACCGAAGCAAGGGCCUUCCUGUGUUGGUCUCCCGCGCCCACAGCCUUGAUAGCUCUAACCGAAUCCUCAUUCCGCCAAGUCAGUAGUGUGUAGUGGUGAAUGCCAAGCCAGACGGUGAUCUCAUUCCAGACUCUACCUGAGAAUCGACACUGAAAAAACAGGUGGGCUGCAGACUCUUGCACUUGUUUGCAGAGGGGGCAAAGGCCACAGUUAGGCCAUCCCCUUCGCGUCAGUCGAUCUGCUGUCCAAACACGGUUUUGAAGGACUAACCAGGCAAAGAAUUUGCACUUCGGAGGGGCCCACAUCUUCCAAAUCGUGGCAUUGUUGGUGCUGUAUGUUCAGCUUUCAUCAGUUGGUUUGCAGAAUUUACUGAGACUUGGGCUGCCACUGUUGAUUGACAGUUGAGAUAUGAAGAGAGAUAAUCCCAUAGUGUCUCCAUUUCGGAAGCAUGAAGAAGCAAAGGUGCAAAAAAUAGGACCGUCGUCAUCACCGUCUGCUAAUGCUCUAGUAGAAGGGCACACUCGGGAAGAGGCAAGGGCUGCUCAAUAACAAGUUGUUGGAGUUGGCGACAGAUUCGACGAAGGAAGUGCCGAAGUGGACAUCAAACUCCUACUCCACCUCCCUGUGCAGCGGAAAGAAGUGGAAAUCAAACUACUGUGAUGCGGCUAUUUUUUGUUCCUUCUGUGCAGAGAAGGACGAAUGGAGGUCAGAGGGACCUGAUGUCUUGCGUGCCUGCUGUUGGCUGCUAUUCCAGUAGCUGCAAUAAACACCAUGAAGGAUGUACAAAGUCUCUAGCAGUCAAACAAGG